rnacentral:rRNA from 1 species
AGUGAACGCUGGCGGUAGGCCUAACACAUGCAAGUCGAACGGCAGCACAGUAAGAGCUUGCUCUUACGGGUGGCGAGUGGCGGACGGGUGAGGAAUACAUCGGAAUCUACUUUUUCGUGGGGGAUAACGUAGGGAAACUUACGCUAAUACCGCAUACGACCUACGGGUGAAAGCAGGGGAUCUUCGGACCUUGCGCGAUUGAAUGAGCCGAUGUCGGAUUAGCUAGUUGGCGGGGUAAAGGCCCACCAAGGCGACGAUCCGUAGCUGGUCUGAGAGGAUGAUAAGCCACACUGGAACUGAGACACGGUCCAGACUCCUACGGGAGGCAGCAGCGGGGAAUAUUGGACAAUGGGCGCAAGCCUGAUCCAGCCAUACCGCGGGGGUGAAGAAGGCCUUCGGGUUGUAAAGCCCUUUUGUUGGGAAAGAAAAGCAGCAGGUUAAUACCCCGCUGUUCUGACGGUACCCAAAGAAUAAGCACCGGCUAACUUCGU